rnacentral:rRNA from 1 species
UACAGGGGGUGCAAACGUUGCUCGGAAUUAUUGGGCGUAAAGCGCGCGUAGGCGGCUACCUAAGUCGGAUGUGAAAGCCCCUGGCUUAACUGGGGAAGUGCACCCGAAACUGAGUAGCUAGAGUGCAAAAGAGGGUCGCGGAAUUCCCGGUGUAGAGGUGAAAUUCGCAGAUAUCGGGAGGAACACCGGUGGCGAAGGCGGCGACCUGGGUUGACACUGACGCUGAGGCGCGAAAGCGUGGGGAGCAAACAGG